UACGUAGGGGGCUAGCGUUGUCCGGAAUCAUUGGGCGUAAAGAGCGCGUAGGCGGCCAGAUAAGUCCGGUGUGAAAGUCACAGGCUCAACCUGUGAAUGCCGCUGGAAACUGUCUGGCUAGAGUCCGGGAGGGGCGAGUGGAAUUCCUGGUGUAGCGGUGAAAUGCGCAGAUAUCAGGAGGAACACCGGUGGCGAAGGCGGGUCUCUGGGCAGUAACUGACGCUGAGGAGCGAAAGCGUGGGGAGCGAACAGG
rnacentral:rRNA from 1 species